rnacentral:snRNA from 1 species
UUAUUUCAGCAGUACAUAUAUUAAAAUUGGAAUGAUACAGAAGAUCAUGUCCCAUGCGCAAGGAUGACACACAACUCUAUGGAGUGAUCCAUAUUUUG